rnacentral:sRNA from 1 species
AUUGAGUGGGAAUAAAAGGUAAAAGUUAAUUAAAGUGAAAACAACCGAUUUAACAACGUACCGCCGUUGUAGAAUGGAUAAUAACUAUUAAAUAUUACUUGGUUCACCACCAAAAACCCCACCAGAAGGAAUUCGGGUGGGGUUUAAAAU